AUUCAUCUCAAACAAUCAAAAUCUUCACAUGCAAAUGCCAUCAUAAGGACUUUUCUAAGGCUUGUAUUGAGGCUGGGCUAACAAGAAAAAUUGGUUUUUCUGGACUGCAAAAUCCUUGAGUUAAGAGAGCUACAAUAAUAUUCAAAGUUUAAGCACAACUCUUUACCUCACCAAUCUCACUUAUUCCCAACUCUCCCUUUUUCUUUUAUUUUUACAUUGAGCUCAUCUUCAUGCUUUUCUUCUUUUCUUUUCUUUUUCUCAUGCAUUUUUCUUUCUCAAUAUUUGAGCUCAAUGCUUUUCAAUUGCCUUUUAGUUUCUCCCAUACAACCC
rnacentral:lncRNA from 1 species